GAUGAACGCGGGCGGCGUGCCUAAUACAUGCAAGUAGAACGCUGAAGCUUGGUGCUUGCACCGAGCGGAUGAGUUGCGAACGGGUGAGUAACGCGUAGGUAACCUACCUCUUAGCGGGGGAUAACUAUUGGAAACGAUAGCUAAUACCGCAUAAAAGUCGACAUUGCAUGAUGUUGACUUGAAAGGUGCAACUGCAUCACUAAGAGAUGGACCUGCGUUGUAUUAGCUAGUUGGUGAGGUAACGGCUCACCAAGGCGACGAUACAUAGCCGACCUGAGAGGGUGAUCGGCCACACUGGGACUGAGACACGGCCCAGACUCCUACGGGAGGCAGCAGUAGGGAAUCUUCGGCAAUGGACGGAAGUCUGACCGAGCAACGCCGCGUGAGUGAAGAAGGUUUUCGGAUCGUAAAGCUCUGUUGUAAGAGAAGAACGAGUGUGAGAGUGGAAAGUUCACACUGUGACGGUAACUUACCAGAAAGGGACGGCUAACUACGUGCCAGCAGCCGCGGUAAUACGUAGGUCCCGAGCGUUAUCCGGAUUUAUUGGGCGUAAAGCGAGCGCAGGCGGUUAGAUAAGUCUGAAGUUAAAGGCUGUGGCUUAACCAUAGUACGCUUUGGAAACUGUUUAACUUGAGUGCAGAAGGGGAGAGUGGAAUUCCAUGUGUAGCGGUGAAAUGCGUAGAUAUAUGGAGGAACACCGGUGGCGAAAGCGGCUCUCUGGUCUGUAACUGACGCUGAGGCUCGAAAGCGUGGGGAGCAAACAGG
rnacentral:rRNA from 1 species